rnacentral:rRNA from 1 species
AGCGAACGCUGGCGGCAGGCCUAACACAUGCAAGUCGAACGAACCUUUCGGGGUUAGUGGCGGACGGGUGAGUAACACGUGGGAACGUGCCUUUAGGUUCGGAAUAACUCAGGGAAACUUGUGCUAAUACCGAAUGUGCCCUUGGGGGGUAAGAUUUAUCGCCUUUAGAGCGGCCCGCGUCUGAUUAGUUAGUUGGUUGAGGUAAUGGCUCACCAAGGCGACGAUCAGUAGCUGGUCUGAGAGGAUGAUCAGCCACAUUGGGACUGAGACACGGCCCAAACUCCUACGGGAGGCAGCAGUGGGGAAUCUUGCGCAAUGGGCGAAAGCCUGACGCAGCCAUGCCGCGUGAAUGAUGAAGGUCUUAGGAUUGUAAAAUUCUUUCACCGGGGACGAUAAUGACGGUACCCGGAGAAGAAGCCCCGGCUAACUUCGUG